rnacentral:rRNA from 1 species
CUACGGGAGGCAGCAGUGGGGAAUCUUGGACAAUGGGCGCAAGCCUGAUCCAGCCAUGCCGCGUGAGUGAUGAAGGCCCUAGGGUAGUAAAAAAUCUUUCGCCAGGGAUGAUAAUGACAGUAGCUGGUAAAGAAACCCCGGCUAACUCCGUGCCAGCAGCCGCGGUAAUACGGAGGGGGUUAGCGUUGUUCGGAAUUACUGGGCGUAAAGCGCGCGUAGGCGGACUAUUAAGUCAGAGGUGAAAUCCCGGGGCUCAACCCCGGAACUGCCUUCGAUACUGGUAGUCUUGAGGUCGAGAGAGGUGAGUGGAAUUCCGAGUGUAGAGGUGAAAUUCGUAGAUAUUCGGAGGAACACCAGUGGCGAAGGCGGCUCACUGGCUCGAUUCUGACGCUGAGGUGCGAAAGUGUGGUGAGCGAACAGGAUUAGAUACCCUGGUAGUCCACACCGUAAACGAUGAAUCCCAGUCGUCGGGUAGCAUGCUAUUCGGUGACACACCUAACGGAUUAAGCAUUCCGCCUGG